rnacentral:rRNA from 1 species
UACGUAGGGUGCAAGCGUUGUCCGGAAUUAUUGGGCGUAAAGAGCUCGUAGGCGGUUUGUUGCGUCGGCUGUGAAAUCCCGAGGCUCAACCUCGGGUCUGCAGUCGAUACGAGCAAACUAGAGUGUUGCAGGGGAGACUGGAAUUCCUGGUGUAGCGGUGAAAUGCGCAGAUAUCAGGAGGAACACCGGUGGCGAAGGCGGGUCUCUGGAACGGUACUGACGCUGAGACGCGAAAGCGUGGGGAGCGAACAGG